rnacentral:rRNA from 1 species
UACGUUAAUAGCGUAUUCGUUUGACGUUAGCGACAGAAGAAAGCACCGGCUAACUCCGUGCCAGCAGCCGCGGUAAUACGGAGGGUGCGAGCGUUAAUCGGAAUUACUGGGCGUAAAGACGCAUGCAGGUGGUUUGUUUAAGUCAGAUGUGAAAGACCCGGGGCGUCAACCUCGGAAUAGCAUUUGUAAACUAGGCAGACUAGAGUACUGUAGAGGGGGGUAGGAAUUUCUAGGUGUAGCGGUGAAAUAGCGUAGAGAUCUGAAGGAAUACCGGUGGCGAAGGCGGCCCCCUCGGACAGAUACUGACACUCAGAUGCGAAAGCGUGGGGAGCAAACAGGAUUAGAUACCCUGGUAG